rnacentral:rRNA from 1 species
GAUGAACGCUAGCUGGAGGCUUAAUACAUGCAAGUCGAGCGGGAUUGGUAGCAAUACCAUGAGAGCGGCGCACGGGUGAGUAACGCGUACACGACCUACCUCUGACAGGGGGAUAGCCCUGGGAAACUGGGAUUAAUACCGCAUAUUAUUCUGAUUAAUAAAGGAUUGGAAUGAAAGUUCAGGCGGUCAGAGAUGGGUGUGCGUCUGAUUAGCUAGUUGGUGGGGUAACGGCCUACCAAGGCGAUGAUCAGUAGGGGGCGUGAGAGCGUGGUCCCCCACACGGGUACUGAGACACGGACCCGACUGCUACGGGAGGCAGCAGUAAGGGAUAUUGGACAAUGGCCGCAAGGCUGAUCCAGCCAUCCAGCGUGCAGGAAGAAGGCCCUAUGGGUUGUAAACUGCUUUUAUCAGGGAAGAAACCUCUGGAUUUACUCCGGAGCUGACGGUACCUGAAGAAUAAGCACCGGCUAACUCCGUGCCAGCCGCCGCCGUAA